CUUCAGGUGGGGAAUAACCCAGUGAAAAUUGGGCUAAUACCGCAUAACAAGACGGUGGCACAUGCUGUUGUCUUCAAAGGCGCAAGUCGCCGGAAGAGGGAUCCGCGGCCGAUUAGCUUGUUGGCGGGGUAACGGCCCACCAAGGCAAUGAUCGGUAGCCGGACUGAGAGGUUGGCCGGCCACACUGGAACUGAGACACGGUCCAGACUCCUACGGGAGGCAGCAGUGGGGAAUCUUGCGCAAUGGGCGAAAGCCUGACGCAGCGACGCCGCGUGGGGGAUGAAGCUUCUCGGAGUGUAAACCCCUUUCGACCCGGACGAAACCCCGCAAGGGAUUGACGGUACGGGUAUAAGAAGCCCCGGCUAACUACGUGCCAGCAGCCGCGGUAAAACGUAGGGGGCCAGCGUUGCUCGGAAUUACUGGGCGUAAAGGGUCCGUAGGCGGUGUGGCAAGUCGGUAGUGAAAUCUCUCGGCUUAACUGAGAGGCUGCUGCCGAAACUGCCAUGCUCGAGUGCGAGAGAGGCGAGUGGAAUUGCGGGUGUAGCGGUGAAAUGCGUAGAUAUCCGCAGGAACAUCCGAGGCGAAAGCGGCUCGCUGGAUCGCAACUGACGCUGAGGGACGAAAGCUAGGGGAGCAAACAGGAUUAGAUACCCUGGUAGUCCUAGCCCUAAACCAUCAGGACUUGGGGUUUGCCCUGUACGGGGCAAGUCCCGGAGCUAACGCGUUAAGUCCUGCGCCUGGGG
rnacentral:rRNA from 1 species